UGAAAAGGGGCUGAAAUUGUCACGUUUCUCUAAAGCUGAACCCAGAAGCAGACCAGGACAAGGUGAGUAAAAUGAAGGUGAGUAUUUAUUCACAGACUCGAGGCAGCGGAGGUGAGUUGAUGAGAGUGAAUAGGCAGAUCCAAUGAUGUCACUGAAACCACCGACGACCAGGCAAGGGGGGCGAAUGUUCCGGGAGGAUGACUGUAGACAGCGUAAACAGGGUUGAGUAACCGGCAAGAAGUACAUAACAACAAAACUAACUCUGGUAACAUGAGCUGAUACGCUGACACAACCUAAUGUUCAUUGCUAACGAUCCGGCAGGGAAUGGAUGUCAGGUCAGGGUUUAUGAAGAGAAGAGGUGAUGAUCAGGACCAGGUGUGCAGAUGGCUGAUGAGAUGCAGGUGCGGGUAAUUGAGAGAUCUCCCGCCUAGCUUCGUCGCCCGGCAACCAGACAGGGUGUGUUCAGAAACAACUCCAAAACAGAAAACAGUCAGCUCAGGCAGAACACAGACUCAGGAAGCGGGAUUCAUGACAGGAAUACAGGACAAAAAUACAGCUGUGUCUGUCCGGAGCUCAUUAGUGCGGGGAAACUGUGAGGGUCCAGUUAAAACAAUGUUGCAAGUUCGCUAGCGAGCUGGACCAAGUCGUUACAAUGUUGCAAGUUUGCUAGGGAAAGCUCAAGACAGACAGAGAGAGACAGGAGACAGGCGGAGUAGAGAGAUUAAUGCGAUUGAAAGAACCUGAACAAACUGUCACUGGUUUAAGCCUAAGCACGAAACAUGGAGAUGCCUUCAAAUUAUUUGGAGUGUGAACCAAUAAAGCUAAUUCAUGACGAGUAAUGAGGAAGAAGUCAAACCGCGUGAGAGAAGAAUCUUCCAGAAAGAUCCUUGGCGCGUUAGCGGAGAAGACAAUAUCUAGAAUCGUGGUCAAGGAGAAACAGAAGAGAGCCUCGAGGACAUGCGGAAAGCUCUACUGUCUGAUGUGAAGAAAAGGAACAACAGAGAGACGGUGAAGUUCAAAAUGGAGAAGACGUUUGCAUACAGGAGACAUUAAGUUGUCCGUGACGCACCCUUGGUAGAGGACUUCAUGGCAAGAUGGCCUGCGCUCUUUGAAGUCAUUGAGGGAAGUUAGCCAUGCUUGUUUUAUUGUUGAUCUAUUGGUCAUGUUAUCUGAGAUUGGUUGGUGAAGGUAGAAGAUUGUUUUCCCUCAGCUUGCCUAAUUGGGCAUGGAUGAAGAGUCCACCAAGGCAGCUGUUGAGGACACUACUGUGGGGAUCUACAUUAUCAAAGACCAUUUCGCGAGUGAGGAUCCAGGGGACACUGGGAUUGUCCUUGAAGGCGUCAAGGUGCUGCAGGAUCUGGGCAACGUAGCAUUUGCUGUUGCAAUGCUGUUCGGCCUCAUGUAUGCCAUGAACCUCAGUUACCCUAACUGAGCCCCGCUACACUUUUGAUGUCUUUCAGAAGGUUUUUAUGGAACUGAAUGGGGACAAACUUUCUAACAAAGCUGUUGCAUUUAAAAACAGGCUGUUUCAGUGAGCUGUUUUGUUGUAUGUUGUGUUUCACACUGUAUGUUUGACUUAUGUUUAACUUGUUAGAUUGUUCACAAAAACUCAAAACAGAAUGAGCAUGUCCAAAGAUGGAGCUAUCGUGAUUUCCUUAAUUUUCUUUGCUGCUUAUGGAAAAAGUUCAGUUUCACUUUGUAGUGACUUUUAGUCAAUAUAAUUAACAUGCACAAAUAUGUCCACAUACCUACCUCAUUCUUUGUCUGUUACUCCUUAUGAAAAAUAACUACCUCAUUUUGUAACAAAAUGCAUUAGAGGGCCCAAUCAUUGUUAGGACAACUCUUCUUUUUUUAUAUAUACAGAUACUGUAUAAAGGCUACAGCCCCUUGAUUUAGACCUGUGCAAUUCAUUGAACACUGAAUGUCAGUGAAUGGACAUUUGUCAUUCCAAAGAGCUGAACCGUUACAAAAAAUACAAUAUCAUUUUUGAAACGCAUGCCUUUGCCUUCUUUGUCACUGAUGCAAAUGGUCUCUUGCUCCUUGGUUACACAUCCUUAGAAAACGUUUUAUUUCCCUAUUAAUUUGUUUAAAUACAAACACUAAGGCAGAAAAUGACAGCAUUUCAUCUUGUGCUUACAUUAAUAAUUAUGUAGAACCUUAAAUUAUGGACAAAGUUAUUCAUAAUUAUGAGUAACAUCGGAACAUGAUCAAAUACAUUUCAAGCUACACAUUUAAUUCAAAUAAAAUUUACUUUAC
rnacentral:lncRNA from 1 species